rnacentral:rRNA from 1 species
UACAGAGGUGGCAAGCGUUGUUCGGAAUUACUGGGCGUAAAGGGCGCGUAGGCGGUCUGUCACGUCGGAUGUGAAAAUCCAGGGCUUAACCCUGGACCUGCAUUCGAUACGGGCAGACUAGAGUUCGGUAGGGGAGACUGGAAUUCCUGGUGUAGCGGUGAAAUGCGCAGAUAUCAGGAGGAACACCGGUGGCGAAGGCGGGUCUCUGGGCCGAUACUGACGCUGAGGAGCGAAAGCGUGGGGAGCGAACAGG